rnacentral:lncRNA from 1 species
GCACCCAGCCACGUGUCCUGCCCCUGAAACACUCUGUCUUCCUGCUUUGAGGACAGCUGAAGUCUUGCCACUUCUUCUGGAUGCUCUGACCAUCAGUAAGAGACACGGUCUGACUUUGUUACCCCGGCUGGAGUGCAGUGGUGCAAUCAUGGCUCACUGCAGCCUUAACCUCCUGGGCUCAAGUGAUCCUCUCGCCAAGGCUAGGAUAAGUAGCUAGGACUACAGAUGCGCCCCAUCACGCCCAGCUAAUUUUACAACUUCUGUAGAGAUGGAGUGUUGCUGGGUUGCCCAGGCUGGUCUUGAAUUCCUGGGCUCAAGCGAUCCUCCUGUGUCCGGAAUUGGUGGGUUCUUGGUCUCACUGACUUCAAGAAUGAAGCCGCGGACCCUCGCGAGUCUGUAUCCACCAGCUACUCUUCCAGAUUCAUGAGGCAAGGCCUGCCUGCUCACCUGGCUGGCCCCAAGCACCUCUUCAACCUGUUGCCACCGUCCUGCCUUGCUGCCCUUCUCAGCUCAUCCAGCAGGGUCUCCAAGUCGUGGAAACAGAAGCACAUAUACACACAUGCUCAUAUGUACAUGCCCACAGUCACAUAAGCACACCGAGAAACACCAUCGCAGACAUGUUCUCACAAGCACAUGUGCAUAACACUCACUACCCCUCACGCGUAUACACAUUAAUACACACACUCAUGCACACUCAGUCUUACACACACAGACACACAGCCAUAAUCACUGUUGUUGGUUGAAUUGUGCCCCCCCAUCCCCACCAAAAAGAUAAGUUGGAGUCCUAACCCCCAGUACCUGGGGAUGUGACCGUAGUUGGAAAUAGGGUGUUUGUAGAUGUAAUCAAAUUAAGAUGAGAUCUUACUGGAUUAGAGUGGGCCUUAAAUCCAGUGACUGGUGUCCUUAUAAGGAGAAAAAGAUUUGAAAACAGAGACAUGGAGACACAGAGCAGAAGGCCAUGUGAUGAUGGAGUCAGAGAUUGGAGUGAUGCAGCUAUGAGCCGAGAAAUACCAAGGUGCUGGCAGCCCCCAGAAGCAAGGAGAGAGGCAAGGAACAAUCUCCAUCAGAGCCUCUGGAAGAAACAGACUCUGCCAACACCUUGAUUUCAGACUUUUGGCCUCCUUCACUGUGCGAGAAUACGUUUCUGUUGUUUUAAACUACUGAGUCACCAAGUCUGUGGUACUGUGUUAUGGCAGCCCCGGCAACAAAUCCAAUCACACACACACACACACACACACACACACACACACACACACACACACACACAGCUGGCUCCAGGCUCAGUGAUGAGCUCAGAGGAGUUCCCCUUGGGAGCUGCUCUUUCUCUGUCUUCCUUCCUUAGUGAUUGGUCCAGUGGAUCCACAAAAGCUCAUGGCCCAGAGCAGGAGCCCAGUCAUUUUUAAUUCCUCUUCCCUGGAGUUCUUAACCAUGCGUUGCCCUCAAAAUCUGCUCUCAAGAUUUGGGUUGCCAUAUUUAGGAGCACCAGAAAACAUACAGGAAUGCUGUGUCUGCUUGCAUCAUAUUAAUUAAAAACUGGAAAUAACCUAAAUGUCCCAGAAUAGGUACAUAAACUGUGGCAUAUCCACUUAAUGGAAUACUACUCAGCAAUACAAAAGGAAAACCUAGUGUUACUUGAGCAACAUGGAUGAACUUCACAGACAUAAUAUUGCACAGCACGAGGCAGACACAAAAGUGUGCAUAUGCUAUGAUUCCAUUUACAUGAGAUUCAAGAACAGGCAAAGCAGAUCUAUGGGGAUAGAAGUCAGAAUAGUGGUUACCUCUGGAAGGUGGAAUUGACUGGGAGGGGCUUCAGGGAACCUCCUGGGGUGCUGAAAACAUUCUGUGCUUGCACCGGGUGGUGGUUAUGUGGGCAUUACAUAAAAUUCACCAAGCUGCACCCUUAAUGAUUUGUACAAUUUGAUGCACAAAUCUAACAUCUCAAGAAGAAUAAAUUUUACAAAGUACCUAAGAAGCAAAUGACCAGAA